GACGAACGCUGGCGGCGUGCCUAAUACAUGCAAGUAGAACGCUGAAGGAGGAGCUUGCUCUUCUGGAUGAGUUGCGAACGGGUGAGUAACGCGUAGGUAACCUGCCUGGUAGCGGGGGAUAACUAUUGGAAACGAUAGCUAAUACCGCAUAACAGUAGAUGUUGCAUGACAUUUACUUAAAAGGUGCAAUUGCAUCACUACCAGAUGGACCUGCGUUGUAUUAGCUAGUUGGUGGGGUAACGGCUCACCAAGGCGACGAUACAUAGCCGACCGGAGAGGGUGGUCGGCCGCCCUGGGACGGAGACACGGCCCAGACGCCUACGGGAGGCAGCAGGAGGGAAACGUCGGCAAGGGGCGGAAGUCUGACCGAGCAACGCCGCGUGAGUGAAGAAGGAUUUCGGAUCGUAAAGCUCUGUUGUAAGGGAAGAACGAGUGUGAGAGUGGAAAGUUCACACUGUGACGGUAACUGACCAGAAAGGGACGGCUAACUACGUG
rnacentral:rRNA from 1 species